AGGGAACUGACAUUCAGAGAUUCCUGGAGGAAGCCACCAUCUUGGACCCCAGAUUUAAAUACAAAGUGAAAAGUGAUGCAGUCUGGGACAGGAUCAGGGAAGCUGCAAUAACAGCAAAUACAGUGGCAGCAAGAGAUGAGCUCCCAGGGGAAGGAGAGACACAGAGGGAAGGCUGCGAAGAUGGGGAGGAGGAAGAAGUAGAGGAACACUAUGCACUGCCACCACCAUCAAAAAAGACAGCCUUGGAAGAACUAUUCGAGGAGGAGGACAACGAGCUGCAGUCAAUCCGUGAAUCACAGCCCCGUCUUUCCCUGGCUCAGAAGGUGGAUCAGGAAAUCCAGUUCUACAAAAGCCUGCCCUCCAUCCCCUGCAGGGAUAGCGCCGCACUGUGGUGGUGGAACAAGCAGGAUACGCUGCCCUUGCUAUCUGGACUGGCUGAAAACUACCUCUAUGUGCAGGCUUCCUCCACCCCAUCUGAGAGGGUGUUCUCCACGGCUGGAGACACCAUAAGCCCCGAAAGAUCCCGUAUCCUUCCAGAAAAAGCAGAUAUGCUCAUAUUUCUGCAAAAGAACUGUUAAUUUUCCCUACUACUACUUGAGUGCACACA